AUACGGCCAAUCAGACAUCAAACUCAAUUUCAAAAAUCCUGAAUUUCUUUAGGCUUCUCAGAUGCUUGAGAGUUUAUAAAAGUCCUCAAUGCCCUAGCUUUUGGAUACUGCGACAGGACUGGGGUGGGAAGAAAAGUCGGGAAAAUCCCUGCUAGGUUUUUCUUAGGCGGGAAAUAAAUUUUGACCAUUUAAACAUACACAGGUCCACUGGUUACUAAUAUUUAUCUCAUACAGAUAUCAUUACUUUUAUUUUUAUUUAUUUUUUUGAGACAAAGUCUUGCUCUGUCACCCAGUCCUCCCUCACCUAAUUUAUUUGAAACCCUAUGAUAUAAAACAGAUUAAAGAAGAGCUGCUCAGCUUAAAGCACAAGUAGGAAUCAGAACCCUUUUUACUCUUUUUUUCUCCCUGUCUGCUUGAGCCAUCUUUUCCUACUCUCAAUCCUUGAGGAACAUAAAAAAUACAUAAUUUGAAAAGAACUGAUUCUGUUUAUCAAUAGGGAAAAAAUAAUUUCAUUUAUUUUAUCCAUACUAAGUUUAUCUCUUUUUGCUGAAAAAGGUAUAUUAAUAUUAAUGUCCAUAUUAAAUAUGAACAUUAGCCAGGCAUCGUGGCACGCUCCUGUAGUCCCAGCU
ensembl:lncRNA novel transcript